GCGCAGCAGGCGAGAAUCUUCCACAAUGGACGAAAGUCUGAUGGAGCGACGCCGCGUGCGGGAUGAAGGCCUUAUGGGUUGUAAACCGCUGUCAGGGGGGAAGAACAUCGGAAUGAACAAUACUCAUUCCGACUGACGUUACCCCCAGAGGAAGCUCCGGCCAACUCCGUGCCAGCAGCCGCGGUAAUACGGGGGGGAGCAAGCGUUGUCCGGAGUUAUUGGGCGUAAAGGGCGUGUAGGCGGCGAGGUAAGUCGAAUGUGAAAUCUCACGGCUCAACCGUGAAACUGCGUUCGAAACUACCCUGCUUGAGUACGGGAGAGGUGUACGGAAUUCCUGGUGUAGCGGUGGAAUGCGUAGAUAUCAGGAAGAACACCGGUGGCG
rnacentral:rRNA from 1 species